rnacentral:misc_RNA from 1 species
AAAGAGGAGCUUUUAAUGAAUCCUGUAAGUGAUGAGAUUUUGUAUACUUUUGUUAGUCUAAAUUUGCUGCUUUGUAGAGUACUCUAUGAAACUAAAAUCUUUCUAUGGUCAUGAUACUACAAAGCUGUUUGCCCUGUUGCUGAGGAUUCUUUUAAUCUUGUAUCUUGAUCUAAUUUUUUCAAAUCAUGGAAUUCUGGGAAGUCCUUAAAAAGUUUAAAGGUUGGCAGCGCAGUUAAACCAUAAAACCUGCACUUAAAAUAAUUAGUUGAAUCUCCAUACUAUUUUUAUGCUUGCAUGAUUAGUUGAGUUGGCUUUACUCGUCACAAGUAGGAUACUUGCACAAGAUGAUGAAUUACUCAAUUUCUUGCAAUAAGGAUCUAUUUUGCAUUUCUUUUAGUACUUUAUUCCUGUAAAUAGUUUUGGAUCUCUGAUUGUUUUUGUGGCUAGUUAGUCGGAAAUCACAAGGAGGUU